rnacentral:tRNA from 1 species
AGGUAAGAUGGCUGAGUGUAUUAAGCGUUAGGCUGUAGUCCUUUUUACAGAGGUUCAAUUCCUCUUCUUAUCCGC